AUGUGGGACCAAUUUGAAGGUCUCGGUGCAGGAUCAGCRCCUCGGUGCUGGCUGCCCGUGGGCUCGGAGCAGGGUGCCCCAAAGCCCCAAAGCCCCUGCCCCACGGCCGGCUCGCUGCCAAGCCCCUGCGCCGCCCGCAUGGCGUGCGCGGCCUCACUGCGGGCCGGCUCACCUGCACGCACCGCUCCCUGCCCUGCGAGACCCGGGGCCUCGCGGCUCAGGGCGGAGGGGAGCGGAUGCCUUUCCAGGUGGAGGAUUUCUCUCCUCGGGAGCAGUGAAUUAUCUCCAGCCCGUCGCACGCGAUCCGUCUGCAUCUCCAUCCACCCGCUUGCCAGGCUGCACCGGUGGGUGCCUGCCAGGAUGCACCGGGCUCACCGGGGACCCGGCGCAGGGUCCCAUCCGAGCACCCUCUGGGUGUCCCCGUGGCCUUGCACCUUCGCGGGUCAGUGGCGCGGGCUGCAGCAGCCGGGUGGCCUCUGCAGCGCCCCACAGAUCCUUUCCCUCGGGACGAUAAGGCAGCAAGUGGGUGCAGCCCCGGCCCCGCACCAUCAGCASAGCCAGGAACAUGGAUCCCGGGCAGCACCGAAGCGUGCCCCAGCGCCAGCUGCGCACACUCAGCUAAACAAGGACCGGCACCACCGUCCCCAAAAACCUCAGAGCACACUCAGCACCCACGGCAGGGCAGGGGCCGGUCCUGCUCCUGCAUCCAGGGCUGGUCUGUCCUGGCUGCUCCUGGGUACAGAGCCGGGCUCAGCCCAUGCAGAGCCAGACCCCGUCCCUGGGUCCCACAGCCGCGGGCUCAAACUGACAUGCUGGGGCUGGAGAGCUGGAGCCAGGAUUCCCGCAUUCCUGGCCCUGCUCCGGCAGACGGAGCAUCCCCCUUCCCGCGGCACCACGGGGGGGUGGGAACAGAGCCGCGAUGUGCUGAGUUUGGCUCUUUGGUACCCGCUCUUUGCCCGGAGCUUCCUCACCCACCUGCCUCCGUCGGGGGCAGGAGUGCGGGGGACAAAAGCCUGUCAUUACCCAGCGAAUGGGAGCCUCCCUGCGCCCAGAGCCAGACCCCCUGCCCGGAUAAUCACACGGCCCCUCGUUAACCGGCCCCUCCGACUCACCCCUGAUUAA
rnacentral:lncRNA from 1 species